rnacentral:rRNA from 1 species
CUCCGUAGGUGAACCUGCGGAGGGAUCAUUACCGAGUGAGCGGCGCCCCCCGGGGCCCGCGAACCCUCCAACCCCAUGUGAACCGACCCGUUGCUUCGGGGGCGACCCUGCCGCUCCGGCGGCGGCGCCCCCGGAGGCCCUCCAAACACUGCAUCUGUGCGUCGGAGUCUCAAUCGAAUUGAAACAAAACUUUCAACAACGGAUCUCUUGGUUCUGGCAUCGAUGAAGAACGCAGCGAAAUGCGAUAAGUAAUGUGAAUUGCAGAAUUCAGUGAAUCAUCGAAUCUUUGAACGCACAUUGCGCCCCGUGGUAUUCCGCGGGGCAUGCCUGUUCGAGCGUCAUUUCACCACUCCCGCCCGGCGGGGUGUUGGGCGCCGCGGUCUCCCGCGCGCCUCAAAGUGCUCCGGCUGAGCCGUUCGUCUCCCAGCGUUGUGACACCUAGUGAUCGCGGCGGAGUGCGAGCGGCCGCGGCCGUUAAACCACGAAUCAGGUUGACCUCGGAUCAGGUAGGGAUACCCGCUGAAC